GCAGCCGUCGCCAGCCUCGGCUCGACCCGGCUCGGAGGCCUGGCCGCUCUAGCCCCCGACUCGAAGGCUCCGGGGCACCAGCCCUCUCCGCUCCGGCGGGCGCCGCGGCCUAGGAGACUAGUUCCGGGAGGGCCGAGGGGACGAGCCUGGCCCGGCCCGCCUCCCGCCGUGUCGCGGCGCACGUAGGUCCCCCGACCUGACAGGUGCGCGGCCCGGGCCGGCUGGGCUCUCAGAGCCGAGAGGUGGGGCCCCGACCUGGCCGUGGGGCUGGGCCCGCUCCGUCGCCCCGACCCCGCGUGGUCCGCCAACUCCCUCCUGCGCGCGGAGAGGACGGGCAUUGUUCUCGGGGCCCCGGAGAGCGCGAGAGCGGCCUGAGGUCUGUGUGCCGGAGCUCGGGAAGGCGGACGCGACUCCGCUUGCGCGAAACGAGCGAACGACACAUUAUUAUCUUGGUGUGUGCGGGUUUUUUGAAAGCCGUGGUGGCGCUCCCAGCUCGCCAGUGCGUGCGGGGCAGUUUCUGGGAAGAUACCCUAGAGCUACUCUGGCGGGGCCGGAGUCUGGAGGGAGGAGAUCCCCUCUCCUUGAGCCCCCUCCUGUGGAGCGGCUUCCUGCCGGCCUGCGUGGCCUCUCAGUUAAGACUCCCCCGCUAGACAAAAGCCCCGCCGGCUGCGUCUCUGGGCCACUGGACAGCCCCCUUUUGCAGAGGCCUCGAGCGUGGGGUCACCAAAAUCCCUGACACCUACUGUCCCGCGCCGGGUCGGACAGGAUUACGAGGCCCCACUUUCCAGAUGAGAAAACUGAGGUGGGGAUCUUUUGAGACCUCACUGUGAGCGUGCGCGUCCCGCCCGGUCUGGGAGUGGCGUCCCCGGCCUCGCGAGCGUCGCGCAGUGAAGCGACAGGGCGUGGCGCCUAAUUGUCCCCACGCCACGCGAGGGCUAGAAACCCGCAGUCGGGGCGGACCAUCCCUCCAGGCACCGCCCCCUCCUUGGGACCGCUCCGCGGGGGCGCCAAGGGUUUCCCCAGCACCGCCCCGGCGGCCGCCAGCCAGCCGCGGCCCCGCCCAUGCCCCUCCCCGCGGGUCUGGGCCCGCCCCUGAAGCGGGGAGGUGUCGCAGGGGAGCCCCCCGCUUCCGAGCUGCGGCUGCGCAUCAAGUCCUUCGCCAGCGGCUCUCCCUGAAACGGGGGGUUUCAAGGCGUGAUUUGUAGGGGUGUUUAGUAUCCCCUAAAUCUCUGCCAGCUCCACCAUGGCUAUCCGAAGUAAACAACAGAAGCUAAUUCAAAACUGGGUCCCCUUCCAAAAAAUUACAAAAAUUAGCCGGACUGGGUGGCGCAUGCCUGUAGUUCCAGCUCCUUGCAGGGGACUGAGGCAGGAGGAUCGCUUGAUCCCAGGAGGUUGAGAUUGCAGUGAGCUAUGAUCACACCACUGCACUCCAGCCUGGUCGACAGAAGGAGACCCUGUCUCAAAAAAUAAACAAAAAAUCGGCCAAGCGCGGUGGUUCACCCCUCUAAUCCCAGUACUUUGGGAGGCUGAGGUGGAUGAUCACCUGAGGUCAGGAAUUCGAGACCAGUCUGGCCAACAUGGCGAAACCCCGUCUCUACUAAAAAUACAAAAAUUAGCUAGACGUGGUGGCACGCGCCUGUAGUCCCAGAUGCUCGGGAGGCUGAGGUGGGAGAAUCACUUAAACCCGGGAGGCAGAGAUUGCAGUGAGCCGAGAUCGCGCCACUUCACUGCAGCCUGCGCAAGAGAGCAAAACUCCGUCUCAAAAAAGAAAGUUAGGAGCCGCUUCAGUGUACAGUGGGUGACCCAGAUUGGCUGCUGAGGUCCUGCCCCCUAAGGUCCUAUCUCAAAAGCUGAAGAUUUUGAAAAAUCCCAGGCCAUCUGAGAUGCCAUUCCUGCCUGGUACCCAUGGCCUCGACCACACUAGCCAGGUUCCAUCUCGGGGUUUCAUCAGCUCAGAUGAGGUGGAGUAGGAGGCCUCUCUGGUGUCUCCUCCUCCCACCACUUAGUGUUGCCUGAGUUUCCAUGGCUCCAGGAUACUAGCCCUGAGGGAUGGAUGUUCUCAGAGAAGCUUCUGUCCCCGGGAUGGAUGUUCUCAGAGAAGCUUCUGUCCCCAGCCCUGCCCUGAGCUAUAGGCUCUGAUGGGGUAAGUUAGUCACCUUCCCACAAAACUGCCCACCACUGAGAAUCCAGGAGUCCCUACCUCCCAGCCACGAAGCAACUCUCUUUUUCUGAGGUGGAACAGAAGCCAUCUCCCAGCUGUCUCCCUCUCCACACUUUGCAGCCUGGAGGCCAUCCUGCCUGAGAUUCUACCCUUAGAGCUUCAUUCUUUUGUGACUUUCACACCUUUCAGAAACUUGGAGAAAGAUCUGCCCCCAGGUGAGGUUUGGGUAACUCCUCCACUCCCAUCCCCACCUCAGAGGAGGCUUGCUCCACCUCCACUGCCCCUCAGGCCCAAGCUCCUGUCUGGGUCCUCAGCCUCUGUGGAGUUGAGGUCUGUAGCAUAUCUCAAGGGCACUGGGGAGGUGCCGCUGCCCUGCAUCCUCCCAAACCCCACAGCUCCUCUCACCCCUUUUGGUCUCCCUUUUGCCCCCCACCUCCACUUCCACCAAGCUUAGGGCUCAGUUCACUGCCCGCCAGGCCCAGCUGCUCUGAUGCCCUCCUUGUUCUAUUGUCCUUACUGUCUCCUCUGUCUGCCUCAUCUGACUUUGCCUUCUCUGGAGGCAGUUAAUUCACCUCUGAGCCUUGGCCCCAGGGUCACCUCCCUGGAAAGCCUUCCUGGGGCUGCCCUGGCCUGCCCCCCUGCUCAGGACAAUCUGGCCUGCAUGUGCACUCCAUUCUGUGGACCAUGAGCCCCUCCCGGACCAAGCUGGGCACAGCUCAGCUUCUCACUAAGGGCAGGGGGCUGCCAUGGAAAGCCUGUCACUUCUAACUGGCAAGACAGAGCACCCAGGUAGAGUGGCAUUGUGGGAGCUGUACCCAGUAUGGGAGGUGGGGGCAGCGGCCAGUCCUCAUGGUCUGUCUUAGAGAAGCCUUGUGUGGCAGUGACAUUUUGGAGGGGAGACAAUUUUGGAGGGGGCUGCAGGAGCCUGGGCCUGGAGUAAGGGGAGAGGAGAGUCAAGCUGUCCAGUGGGGAGAAGGCCUGGUGGGCGAUGGUGCCAUCCUGAGUGGAGAAGGCCUGGGAAUGUGAGGAGUGGGGAGGUCAGGGUGGGGGUGGUAGAGGUGCUAGGUGUAACCACUGCUUAGGUGAAGACAACUCCUGUGCCCUUUCAGAGCCAGGGCAGGGUGCCUCGUGCCCAGGGUUGGGAGUUGGGAGGCAGUGGACUUGGGCCCAGACCCUAGAGGUGAGGAGGGUGAUGGUGAGGGGUGUAGGGAUGGCAACACUGGCAGAAUAGCCCCUGUCUACCCUCUGACCUUCCUCACCAAGCUGGUGGGUGAGAGGUCCGUCAGGGCCUCCAUAUUACAGCUGAAGCUAUGGAAGCCAGAGAGGUACCUGAGCAGUGACUUGACUUAAGGGCUCUGACCCCCACAUCAUAGCUAAACUGUGGUGGCCCCCAAAUGCUCCCCUGCCAUUUCCAGACUUCCACACUGGAAGGGGGAACGUGGCUCUGGUGCAGACAGUGUUGGGUGGGGAUUGCAGCUCCUCACGGGACUCCCUGCCGGACUUGGGCACCAAUUUCCCCUCAGGAGUGCCUGCUGCGCCUCCCCAGACCAGCUGCUGUGAGGAUAAUGGGGUUUGUGUUCAGCAAGUGGCCACCCCUGGCAGCACCCACAGCUCAUGGAAACCACUGGGAACUGAGAACUGUUUAGUGGAGUUGAGGCUGGUGUUUAGUGAAGUUCCAAUCACCAGGAGACUUUCGGGCCAGAGGAUCAGGGUUGAAGGGUUUUAGUGCGUGCUCAGCCAAAGGGCCUCAAUUCUGAGUCUGAGAAGAGGCCUCAGAGCCUGGUGCUUUGGGAAGCCAAGACUACCCCAGCUCCAGGAUCUGUCCUGUUCUCAGGUCCCACUGAGGCAGAGCCCAUGGACUUGAUGCCCAGCCCUGCCCGCUGUCUCUGGAACUCCUAUUUCCUCGGGGCAUUGGACCGUGUCUGCCCACCAAGCCCCACUGAAGGGUGCAGGUGAGCAUAGGAAAGUUGGGCAUGGCAGCCCCCUGGGGCCUGGGCUGAAGUCUGGCUCCUCUUUCCCUGGCAUGUGCUCCAACAGGGCCCCCGAGCGGGACUGGAGGCGGGCAGAGAAGGACCUGUGGGAGCAGCUGGCAGAAAGCAGGCAGCAGAGGGCCGAGCUGGCAAGCCGUCUUCGGGCAGUGCCGGAGGCCCUGUCGGAGCAAGCCCUGGUGCUGCAGAGGCGGGAGCACAAGCUGGGACUUGGCUGGUCCCUAAAGCAGAAAGUGGAGUGCUCCCUGGCCUGCCUGGAGCAGGAGAGGCACCAGAUGCAGGGAUCCCAGGGACAGGCUGAGUGGAGGAGGCCAGACCAGAACAUAGAAGACAAGAUCCUGCUGCUGCAGACAGAAGUGGAAAAGGCCUAGCGGCAUUUGGACCAAAUGACCCAACAGCCUGUUGGCCCAGAGCCCAGCCUGGGGAUCCCCCAAGUGGGUGCAUGGCAGGCCCUGCGCACUGGCCCUGCUGUACCUUUGACUCUGCCCCACACUUUAUUCUCUGGUCCUCAUUAUUGAAGCAUUAUCUAGAGAAGGAAGGCAGCGCAGGGGCUUAGUCCAGCCAAGAGAGGGAUCCUCUUCCAACAUUUGGGAAUACCCUGGGAUCAUUCAGUGACUUCCCUCCUGGUUCAGAUGGGAAAACUGAGACCAGAGAGCAGAGGAGAGCUUGUUCAGAGUCAUAACUUGAGUUGGGGCCAGGACCCUGCCACAACAUGCCCUGAGGCAUCAACGGUCUGCCAAGACCACCCCAGUGUGGUCUGGAAGCUGGAAGGAGACCCCAGGAUUCUGGACCAAGUGUAUCUACAGGAGAUGCUGGUGCCAGGCCUGCAGAUCCAAGAGCAGAGCUGGGAUGGAGGCAGGGCCCAGGAGCUUCGGGACCCAGAGUCUCCAUGCCAGCAGCUGAGACCCCUGCCCAGGCUCAGGACACAGUCCGUCUGCAGGAGCAGUUGCUGAUACUCACUGAGGUGAACAAGAGACUCAGAAGAGCUGGGCCAGAGCCACCAGCAACUAGGGGCCUGCUUGGAGCAGCUGCAGCAUCUGCAGGGAGAGCAGAUGGUGUUGGGGGGCCAUUGCAGGCCCUGGAGGCAGAGCACACCUGGCUACUUCAGGAGAAGGUGGGGCUGCUAGCAGCACUGGGUGUGGCCCCGGGCCAAGAGUCCUGGUAGGUGGCUGCUUGGGCCCAUCCUCAGAGUGUCCAAGCCAGGCUGGGGUGGGGGCUCUGUUCUCACUGUAGGUGAGAUGGCCCUCUCAGCAGGCGGUGGGCCAGUCUCUGUCACCAGCUGGCUGAGGGGGAAUGGCCCAGAGCCCUAAACCCGGAAUCACACGACCAGAGCCAGUCUCCCUUCCCCAGGUAUCAGCGCUCCUGGUUGUCACAUUCUGGCUCUUUUAUGGGGUGGGAAAUCUUUCAGCUUCAAGAAGUCCUGUCUCGCCUACAUAUGGCCAAGCCCCUCCUGCUGGCCCAGGGGCAGGUGGGAGGUGGGGGUGAGAUGACCUUAGCUGCUGGGUGCAAGUCAGGGUCCUUGGGAGUAGAAGUGCCCAGUACAAAGGGGUUCUGUGUGUGCAGGGAGCCAUGAAAGAGGCAUCUCUGCCCCACUCCCCCUCCUAGUUCAUAAGACAAUAAUCACUGAAAGGGAGUGGGGUGGGGGUGAUCUGGGGUCCAUGCUGUACCUGGACUGCACCAUUUCUUCCAGUACACUCCAGGUCCUGGAGGUACCAGUGCCCCUCAGGAAAGAGCUAGAGGCACAAGAAUCACAUCCCAGGCUUCAUGAGGAGAUGGCUGAAUAUUGGAAGGCACGCUGGCACCGGCUGGCAGUUGCCCUGAAAUUUAAAGAGGAGGAACUGCAGAGACUCCAGAGGCAGAGUGGGACCUGGCCUCCCCAGCAUGCAUUUAUUGAGCAUCUGCUACAUGCCUGGCCCUCUUCUGUGUGCAGAAGCAAUGUCAAAUCAGAUCACUCCUUGUCCUCAACAGCUUAUGGUUUGGGGGCACCCGGUAAUUGAGACCCUUACACAGCUGCACAGGCCAGAGUGCACGCAGGAGGAGCUGCCGUGAGUCUGGGCGGGCACCAUCCAGUGAGCCCCCAGGCCCCUAGUCCACAUGCCAGCCAGGGAGGGCAGGCCAGGGCCCAGGAGGAGAUCCGCUCCCCUCUGCAGGCUGGACCUGCCCAAACCCAAGAGCCAGGGUGAAGGUUUCUGCAGGCAUGAGAGGAUGGGGGAGCAGGGCCCCUAGAUGGGGAUGCAGCUGGCCCCUCCCCAGUCAGCCACAGGAGCAGGAUGCAGGCUCUGGAGAGGGAGAAUGACCAGAUGGCUGCUGGGAUCCAGAGGCAAAAGGUGGGCAGGAGCUGGGCUGCCUGGGGUGGUGUGAGGUGGCCCCACCUACAGUCAGGGCCCCCAAAGAACCCCUCCUAAGUACCCUAGAGCCCUCCCCAAGCCUGAAGUCAGGGGCCUUGUGCAAUAAAGUGGAGGCCCGGGCUGUGCCACAGCCACAGCUCUUCUCAUGGGGCCUCAGCUUCCUGAUUGUUUAAUGGGUCCCAAGCUCCCCACCCUGGCCCUGAGUACCGGGGAGCUCAGGCCCAGGGGUGUGGGGCCUCCAGGGCUACUAUGGCCCAUCUGUCCGUGAACAGAAAGGGCCUUGCCCUCCAGCUUGAGCUGGGUGCCUGUGGACAGAAGCAGGACUUUGGCCACCACUGGCACCAGAACCCUCAGCACCAGCUGCUAGGGGUGAGGGUCGGGUGCCCCCAGGUCAAGGUGGCCUGAGCCUGCCCACCCAAGGACAGGGACAUAAGAAUCUGGACAAUCCUGCCAGCCUGAAGGGAGGGCAGCCACCCUGGAGCAGCCCAAGUGCUCCUGAGUCCUUGCCACCUCCCCUCUGCCCACAGGGCAGACCGCAGCAGAGACCCCAGGCCAGCCCCCGGAGUCUGCAAAUGAAAGGAGCUGUGGGAGCCCAGGUCUGCCAAGGAGCUGGAGUCUGCAGUGUGGACUCCACCAGAGGCCAAUGGGAGGUGGGUUCAGAGCUGGCUGAGAUGCAGACUGAGCUCGAGAAGGUCUGCAAUGUGCUGGAAGCUUGAGACUCAGAGCUGAGAGCUGAGCAGUGGGCCCUGGAGGCUGCCCAGGACCAGGUGCUCAGCAGCUGCCCCCCUGCACUGUGCUUCCGACUGGCCUGCAUGGCUCCCACAGGCUCCCCCAUGCCCGAUCCCUGCUGCCUGCCGCAUGGUGCCCAUGCAGGCCUUGACCUUUCCUUCCCCACACUCCGUCACUCAAGUUCCUCCCAAGCCCUUGCUGCCCACUGGGAGGGCUCAGCCUGGAACGUGUUCACUGCUUCCCCCCGCCCACCUCUAAGCUGGUGGAGAGCCUCCCUGAGAAACUGAGGCUGCAGCAGCAGCUGAAAAGGAGCUGGUAGAGAAGCAGUGACUGCGGGCUUGGCGAGCAUGAGCAAGUCCUGCCUUCACUAAGCCUCACUAUCCUCUGUAAAAUGGAAACACGGACAGUACCUAUGACACAGGAUUGAUGUGAGGAUGACAUGGGACACAGUGCACCGGGGACAGUGCUUAUGUUCUCCGUCCUUCUCAGUUUCUCCUGUAUCUGGGGUCCAGUUAGGCUGAGUCAGUACCAAAGUCAUAAAACCACGUAUAUGUGCCCAGGGGCGGCUGCAUACGGGCUUUAGUCCCAAAGCCUUUUUUUUUUUUUUUUUUGAGAUGGAGUUUUGCUCUUGUUGCCCAGGCUGGAGUGCAAUGGCGUGAUCUCGGCUCACCACAACCUCUGCCUCCUGGGUUCAAGCGACUCUCCUGCCUCAGCCUCCCAAGUAGCUGGGAUUACAGGCAUGCGCCACCAUACCUGGCUAAUUUUGUAUUUUUAAUAGAGAUGGGGUUUCUCCUUGUUGGCCAGGCUGGUCUUGAACUCCUGACCUCAGGUGGUCCACCCACCUGGGCCUCCCAAAGUGCUGGGAUUACAGGCGUGAGCCACUGCGCCACACACAAGGCCUAUUUUAUGCAAUGUUCAAUCCAUAAGGCUUUGUUUGCACUUCUUGUGAUAUUCAGGCAAUAGUUUGAUGUAAUGCAAUGCUGCCAGUGACAGACAAUACAGCACAUUCCCCAGGAUGGCAACAGCUACUGGCUUGUGCUUAAAUACCAUUUCAUUCUGACUGAGGUCAUCAUCUUUGAGCUCCUGCAAUGAGGAGCUCAAUAGGGUGGGGGAUGCUGUCCUUUGCCUCAGGUGCUCUUUGGGUGCUUUCAUAAAAGAGGGUCAGAGCCGCCGAUGGGGUCUAGGAGACCCUAAGAGUUCUGAUGGUCAGGCUGAGAAUUGUGUCCUCAGGGAGUGGGAGCUGCUGCAGGUCUGAGCACCAAGGGCUCCAGCACCAGGACAGGAGCCUCCAGCCACCUCCACCUUGCAGCCCCUGAAGGUAGCAUAUGUGGACCCUCUAGAUGGGGUGGGGAGUGACCUCUGCCCAGUUCCUUUCUGUCCCGUGGCCUUCCCAUCUGCAGGUUGUAGAGGGGAAACAGAAGGCUAGAAAGGCCCUUCCAGCUCAGGCUUUUACUGGUUCUAAAUGGAUUCCUGAGCUGGCCUCCCCAUCCCUGGACAGAGCGGAAGCUACCCCCUGCCCUGCCUCUCUGACCCCCAUGGUAUCAGCCUCUGUCUCAUCUGCCCCCAGAUCCCAGCCAUGGCCCUGGAGCCCAAAGAAGGGCAUCUGAGAAAAGUUGGAAGCCAGGGGCAGUGCCCAGGCAGUGUAGAGACUGUGCCCAGAGCCAGCAGGAGGCAGAUUCACAGCCUCACUCUGCAGCACAAGAGAUUGAGGUCAGGCCCUGCACCCCCGCCCAGUGAGCUGAAGGGUCCUGGCAUAGAAAAGCUGAAUUGAGAGGCCUCAGUGAGUUGGGCAUGGUGGCUCACACCUGCAAUCCCAGCACUUUAGGAGGCUGAGGCAGGUGGAUCACUUGAGGCCAGGAGUUCAAGAACAGCCUGGUUAACAUGGGGAAACUCUGUUUCCACUAAAAAAUUCAAAAUUAGCUGGGCGUGGUGGCACAUGCCUGUAAUCCCAACUACUCAGGAGGCUGAGGCAGGAGAAUCGCUUGAACCCAGGAGGUGGAGGUUGCAGUGAGUCGAGAUCGCACCACUGCACUUCAGCCUGGGUGAGAGUGAGACUCUGUCUCAAAAAAAAAAAAAAAAAAAAAAAAAAGGCCUUAGGCAACCGCGGCUGGGCAAGGACUUGGGAAGAGGGGAGGCCCGUUUGGCUGGCCUUCAGCCCCCAAGGCCAGGGUUUCUAUGAGGCCUGAAGCCUGGAGCCUGUCAUAGGCAACUGCAGUCUGAGGCCUCCCUGGCAGAAACCACUCCUUGUCCCCUCCCUGACACAGGCCUGAAAUGCCCAUGUUGGCACAAUGUUGCCAAUAUGGCUCUUGGUGGAUGAGACCACCUGGCACUUUCCCAGGGGACCCUGUGGCUAAGAGUAGAGCUAGGCAGGCACUGCCCAACACCAUAGGGGGUGCUGCGGGCCUGUAGGCUUGGUUGGCCCAAUUACUGCCCUAAUGCCAUCGGACAGUGCCCACCAGGGACUCUCUGUCUUGCCAAGGAAGGCCUUAGGCACUGGGCUUUAGACAUUUCAAAGUGAGUUCUCAUUCACUUGUGUCUCCGAUCACACUAGAGUCCCCAUUUCACAGACAAACUGCCCAGAGUUUGUCAUAGGUCACACAGCAAACCAGCAACUAAGCCCCCUGGUCCCCUAAUCUGCCCCAGAAAGGUAGUUUCUCAGCUGUUCUGAGCUUGACAGCAUGAACAUCCUCAGGAGCCACAGGCAAAGUGGGCUGAGGCUUGGCAUUCCCCUCGAGGUCAUCUGGCCAUUCUGAACGCCCCUCCUCAGCCUGCUUCCUCCGGCUGAGCCAUGUGCCCCCGGAACCCCUCUGAACUCUGUUGCCGAUCCCUCCCUCCAUCUGCGCCUUCAGUGAAGCAGUUUCUUAAAGGAGGGGUCCUUGGUACCGUGGAGGGACAGGACAUCUCUGGGAAUUCGUACCCAGCUGCGUUCGUGCUGAGUUCUUCAUGACCCACUCCUUCCAGCGUCAGCUGGUGGAUCCAGGGCUGGGUACUGAGCCGUACUGGACCAGUGGGCCCCCUCCCGGGAUCGCUGGACUUGGAGCAGAAGAGUCCCUCCAGGGCUGAAGAUUGGACACAGAAAACUUGGGAACUGUCAACUGCCCUGUUAUUCACCUCGUGAAAAAAGCUGGAUUUCUAAUGAGAGCGAAUGGAGGUGACAAUUCCCAGAAACUGGAAUUGGGAUGGUGAGAUUUUAGUUCAGCCGCCGGCGGUCUCAUGCGUGGAGGUGAUAAAGUUGAGCUUUGAGGUGGUCUUCAGAGGGAGAGGAAUACCCUCUGCGGGCAGAGCUUCCUGGGUUCCGGGCCCUUCCGGACGUCAACACAGGUCCAAAUGCCCUUGGGCUCCUCCGCACACCCUGGGUGCAAGAAUAAAUCCUUCUCUCUGCCGCCA